UUUCCCCUCGCAAGUCGCAACCCAGCGUCCUUUUUUCCUUUUCUUCCGACAGCUAGGGUUAGCGUCGCCGCCGCCCUCCCCUGUGCUCGUGCCCUCUCCUCUCCCGCCCCGAGCUCCACUGCCUCCAGCCUACGCUCGCGCUCCGUCCCUUCCUCCUCGUUGGUGCUCAAUCGGACGAGCGUGAGCUGCGGCAAACUGCAGCGGAGGGAAACGUGGAUGAGGAGAUCAAGCCAAGCCGGAGGGGACAGCUGGUGCACGAGCUCGCACUGCCCUGGCGCCGAUCUCGCGCCGGUCCUACGCCCUGCCACCCUCUCUCGGGACGCCAUGGAGAUCAACAAGGUGCGCCCCCACUCCCCUCCCUCUGUCGGGGUAUGGUAGGUUCGUACUGACCGCCUCCGGCUCGAGCAAGGAUCUGCUGCACCUCCGGCCCCUUUUGCCUGCAGACUGAGGAGAAGAGAACACAUGUAGAUAGUUCAUCAAAGUUCCUUAACUGUGGCUGAUCUUCUUCGUCAGGUGAUUGUACUGCAGAUUUAGUACAUAGAGCUUUUUUCUUCUUCUCUAAGAUACAGUAUACUGCUAAUUUUGAUGGUUUGUUGAAUUAUCUUCUUGUAAUAUAUGAGCGCCCGCAAUGGCCACCUCGGCACAAGGAACACAGGUUGCAGAGAUAGACGUGCGGGCUGCAGAGAGGGCCGCCCACGACAUGGUCGCUACCGUUCGUCCAUCGCACGGCAACGGCAGGUCGACCCCACCAUCUCUGCCCCUUUUUGAUGGCGGCUCUGGAGGACCGAGGAAUUGAGGUUGCCCCUUUCGUCUGUUCACAUCCUCUGUUAGUUUUAGAUUUUGAAGAUUUAUGCGAUGGAAUCAUGAUAUGUAACAUGUCUUCUCCUGAAGAGGUCCGCUUAUUACUCGAUGACACUGUUGCCGGAAACACGGCCAAGGUAGCUGUGCUCCUCAUGAUGGAGCAGCGCCUGGGACAUUUUCUUGGGAGGUUGAAGCCGGAAAGGGAGGAGGAGGAAGAUGGCAGCCGCCCCGCCGCCCAAGGCCGACGAGCUGCAGCGGCAUCCGCUCAAGGAGCAGCUGCCCAGCGUGUCUUUCUGCAUCACCAGCUCACCGCCAUGGCGUACCGUGCUCUGCUUCACCCCGCCUCAGGGGCCUCUUGAUUUGCUCUUUGAAAGUUUCCCUCUUACAUUCCGUGCUUGUCCUUCACUGUCCUCAGUUUUUGCUCGUACUUGUUUCAUGUCCAGGCUUUCUUUCCCACUGCAUCAUGUGUGCUGAUUACUGACCUAUUUUUGUUGUUGUCGAUGCACAUCAGUCUUCAUAUUUUCAGUAGAGAAAGUUUUUUGUUGGAAACAAAUUCUUUUGCUGGUUCAUUGAUCUUGAAUUUAUUUAUAAUGAAAAGGCCUUUCAGCUGCACAUGCUUUUAUGCAAUUGAUAGUAUGUACUACUCAUAUUAAUCAAAUAGUAUAUAAGUUGAUGUUCCUCUUGUGCUUGUAAUCUUGGGCGGAACCAAGGCCGUGAUACUAGGAUUUCAACAUUUCAUAGUCAUGUUGGACACCAGCAUCAUCAUACCAACGAUGCUUGUUCCUCAAAUGGGAGGUGGAAAUGAGGAGAAAGCUCGGGUAAUCUAGACGCUCCUGUUCGUCGUCGGCAUAAACACCUUACUGCAAACCUUCUUGGGGUCUCGUCUCCACGUCGUGAUGGGUGGCUCCAACACUUUCAUUGUGCCAACCAUCUCCAUCAUCUUGGCCGGAUGCUGAGGCAAUGAGGCAGAUCCUCACGAGAAAAUUCCUACGGACGAUGAGGGGGACACAAAGCGCUCUCAUAAUCGCGAUGAUGAUUCAAAUCAUCCAUGGUUUCAGUGGUCUCUGGCGCAAUGUUGUCCCCCAUUAUCUGCGGGUCCUCUUGUUUCACUCAUUGGAUUUGGGCUUUAUGAACUUGGCUUUCCAGGCUUUCACCACCGUUGAGUUUCAUGUGAACAAUCUGUUUUGAUAUUUUUAUAUAACAAUAUCAUGCCUCAUUUUCCAUUUGAUUUAGUUAUUUCAACUUCAACUUUGAGUGUAUUAGAUAUGCACUGAAUAGAAAGUAUAUUACCUUAUCUGAGUUGUUGCUGCCACUGAGGUGUUAAAAGUGCAUAUUCAUAGCAUCUUCCUUGGCACGAUUAAUUGCCACCGGUUUACAUUCGUAUCUUUCAACAUUUAGUUCAGGAGCUUCAUGAAUUUUCCGUGUCCUGAAAUCAUAUAUAUUUUUUAACAUGAAUUUUGUCUCCACAAAGAACAGUGUGGUAAGCUCUAUAACAGUCAUUCAGACAUCAAAUUAUGAACUCUCAUAUUUGAUUGCUUGGAAAACAGUUCAAAGCAUAGCCAGGAAAUGCUGGCGACCGGAAUAUUGUGAUACUAUGGAUGCUAUCAAGCAUGCUUUUGGGGCCUUGCCGCAGAUCAUCUGCAAGAAGGGCUCAGUUCAAGAACUAAUUAAGGUUAAGCUUCACCAAUGAUUUGAAGGAUGCGCAUGACCACGGCUAGGAACCUCCAGAGUACAUCAUCUGCGGUGAGCAUAGAGCUUAUCCGCAUGACCACGGCUAGGAACCUCCAAACUAAUUUAAAAACCCAAUGAUCAGCCUCGGGUGGCUACAGAUGCUGCAGCCGGUUCAACCUAUGGCCAUCAUAAAGAACAGGAAGGACUUGUACACACCGCCGACUGAAUGUAGUGGAAGGAGCAUGUCCUGCAGGAGAUGGACAGCAAGGCCGCUGACAAGGUCUCUGAACGACGCGCUAGCGGUGGUGGCGGCGGCGACCAAGGCCGUUGGCGAGAAGAUCGCGAUGGAGGAGAAGUUUUGGAACUGGAAGAUGGAGAUUGUUAGGAGGAAGCACAACCACAUCUUGUGUUGGUGGAGAAGAAGCAGGGAAGCCGCUUGCUGAGAAGACCACGCAACAGAAGACCCCCACCACCGCCGGUGCCAUCUCUAGCACGAGCUGACCACAUCGGGCGUUAGUUGGAUCAUAGAAUGUAUCAUGUCAUCAGAUACAUAAAGUAUAUCAUCAGUUGCAUGUACAUUCAAGAGGCUCUCAUUGUUUGAAUGCAGCUGUGCUACACAAAUUGCUAAAAA